UUGGCACAGUCAGUCAGUCCCGGACGCAACGCUGCACGGUACGGUUGAGAUUUUCCACAGUUGCGCGUUUUCCCUUGUGCUGAGGCACUUUGCGUGAGGAGGAAAAUCCAGACCAGUGAGGAAAAGUCUUGGUUUUUUUUGGUUGCAAGAGAGAGUGAGGAAGGAAAAAGGGAACCAGUCGAGGAAAACCGGAGUUGGUUUGUUUCAGUGUGCACUGGAAAAUAGGAAAAUAAAACCGAUUUUGUUUUUCGCGUCGCGUUUUCGAGUUUUUCCCCGAAUUUUCCACGUGUUUGUUUGGAAAGAAAGCAAAACGCGUUCGUCUGCGACCAAGUGAGCGGAGUUUGUAUUUUGUCGUGCAAAGGGGUCGUGAUUUUGUGUGAGGAUAAAAAAGCGAAAUAAAAGUGAGCUGCGUUAUUUUUCACGCUGCUUGACGCGGUAUUUUGUGUGUUAUUGGUCGCGCACUCUGUGUGAUUAGUUUAAAAAUACUGCGGAUCAAAAGUGAACGUGAAGGAAAGAUCAAGGGAAACAUCUGCGAUAAAGAGAUUCGGCUACAGGAUAGCAGCCAGCACCGGGAGUGAAAAAUCAACACAAACGCAAGAAAACGGAUUAUAACAAGCUAAGAGGAAAAACAUUUUCAUCAAACAAAAGAAAAAGAAAACGUUCGCCAGGCUUGCAGCAGUCCAGCGAGAAUCCAAUUAUCAACCGGAGGAAAAACAUCCCGGAAAAAGGUCGAACACUCCGCUAAAUUAGAGCUAGAACCCGCGCGCGCUCCAGCACGUGUGCCCCAACAACAACCUCAACAACAACAAGCCUCAGCUGUCGAAGAAAGCAAACCGGUUCGACUUCACCUGAGGAACUGCAGUUUUCAGUGUUGUUGCUGUUGUUGUCGUGAGUCACGCCAAGUCACGACAACAUAACAGACUCGGAGAGUCCGCGCGCGAGAGAGUACUCGGGAGAGCGAGCUCGCGCAAGAAUCAACACUCAACAAAGGAAACCUCAGCGAACGGGUUCGAAGAAAUCGUUGACGGUUCUUAGUCGACUCCUAGCAGCCACCACGCGCAGUUGGAGGAGUUCGUUCGGUUCGAGAGUUUCGAGUGUUCGGUUGACCGGAAAUGUGACAAGAAGUUCGACAGUUUUGUGCAGCAGUUUGCGUUUCGUUCUGAGUUCCAAGUAACCUCAAGCGUAGCGGGAAUCUUCCUGAAGAGUUCAACGCGUUAGAUUUGGGAAGCUAUCCAGGUUGGGAAGCAGAACGCAAGAUGUAAGAAGCUGGUGCCGUAGCUGAAACAGAACAAGUUCAUCCGGUAAAACCAAUUGAUCCAGAUAAAGCGGAGAAGAUUCACACAGGUUCACACGCGGAGUGUGUGUGCAAAGAGGUGAUUUCUUGUGAGCAAUAUCUACCAUACAGAGUUCAUAAAGCAUAGAAGCACCGUUGUUUGCUGAAGAAAGAAGACUGAGCAAUUGUUGUGAGCGCAGUAAUUGCAAUUGAAAGUAAUUCCUUUCGUGUACAUGUGCAAUCGAGGUGUUUGAUAAGUGUGUGCAUUGUGUUCAUUUGGUGAGCAAACCCGUACUACUCAGCACGAAGCAGCUGAAGAAGUGCACGUGGGUUACACAAGUGGAAGCUUCGUCACCCCAAACGCAAAGAAGAAUUAAAUGUGCUUAAUCUGUUGCGUGUAACCACCUCCAGAGAAAAAAAAAACCUUCUAGCAAAACCCCAGCCAAGAAUCGAGGUCACCAGCGAAACCGCUGGCAGCAUCUUUGAAAGGCAGCAGCACACCUUGAGCAGCAAUCAUGUUGGAUCGUGGACCAGUCCAGUUAGACAACGACAAGUGUCGUCGCGGUGAGCGGGAACCACACCUGUCCGGAUCGCGGCUCGAUCUGUCCGGCCUAUGUGGCGGUGGCGCUGUUCGAAACAACACAUCACGCUCCAGCCGAAGCAACAACAACAACAACAACACGAUGGUGGACUCACACGGGAACGCGCUGCCUCCGCUCAGCCCGUCCAGCAAUAACAACUCGUCCUCGGGCAGCGAAAUUGAGCAGAAGCCGGUUCCGCUGUCGCCCAGUGAGGCCCUCAAAUACCACGGCACCGGCCUGACCGACUACGAAAAGCAGGAAAUCGAAAAAUACCCCGAGGUGUACUACCUCGGGCUGGACGCGUGCAAAAUCAACGCCAAACCGGGCAGCGCCCUCAACUCGGGCUACGACGACGACAACGGCAGCUACAACAAGGUGAUCCACGACCACGUCUGCUACCGGUACGAAAUCCUCGAGGUCAUCGGCAAGGGCAGCUUCGGCCAGGUCAUCCGGGCGCUGGACCACAAAACCAACCAGCACGUGGCAAUCAAAAUCAUCCGCAACAAGAAGCGCUUCCACCAUCAGGCCCUCGUCGAGGUGCGGAUACUGGACGAGCUGCGGAAAAAGGACGCCGACGGGUCGUACAACGUGAUACACAUGCUCGACUACUUUUACUUCCGGAACCAUCUGUGCAUCAGUUUCGAGUUAAUGAGCCUCAACCUGUACGAGCUCAUCAAGAAGAACAACUACCAGGGAUUCAGCCUGAGCCUGAUCCGGCGGUUCUGCAACUCGAUAGUCAAGUGUCUCCGGCUACUGUACGCGGAGAACAUCAUCCACUGUGAUCUUAAACCUGAAAAUGUCCUGCUCAAGCAGCGAGGCAGCAGCCUGAUCAAGGUCAUCGAUUUUGGCAGCUCGUGCUACUCGCACCGCAAGGUCUACACCUACAUCCAGUCCCGUUUCUACCGGUCGCCGGAAGUUAUACUGGGACUGUCGUAUGGGACGCCCAUCGACAUGUGGAGCUUGGGAUGCAUACUAGCCGAACUGUACACCGGAUAUCCGUUGUUCCCCGGGGAGAACGAAGUGGAGCAAUUAGCGUGUAUCAUGGAAGUUUUGGGCAUUCCACCGGAUGAUCUCAUCAAUACUGCCACCAGGAGGAGGUUGUUUUUCGAUUCCAGAGGCACUCCACGGUGCAUCACCAAUUCCAAGGGCCGCAAGCGGAAACCAGCCUCGAAAACGCUGUCCCAGGCGCUCCGGUGCAACGACACCGUGUUUAUCGACUUUGUCACCAGGUGUCUCGAGUGGGACCCCAAGAAGCGCAUGACCCCGGAGGAGGCCGCCCGCCACGAGUGGCUCCAGCCGAGCGCCACGUCCACGUACGUCUCGUCCAAGUCGAAGGAAAACGCCUCCGCCACCAACGGCGACGGCCAGCAGCUUGGCUUCAUGCAGAAGCUGCAGCGAUCUCAGCCGAUGACGCCGAACACGAUCCUACCGGAGAUUAAAACGCCCUCCCAGCGGCAGCGCUACGUCAAGGACCGCGUCAAAGCAAGCAAAAAGAAACAACAGUCCAAAGAUCAGCAAGCCAACGCCGCCGGUCAGAAGCAACCCCUGACGAGGCUGAUCAUCAGCUGUACCACCGUGAAAGAUCUCAUCUCGAUCUUUGACACGCAGAAAAAAAAGGACGGAGGGCACUGAUGGCAGAAGCAGAAGAAGUCACGAAACAACUAAACACUAAUCUAAACUGCAACCCCCCCUAAACUGCUACCAACUAUUGGCUAGGCUUAGCGCGCACCCACAAACACACCCCCGUGUUCUAGACAUGGAAGAAGACUUUCCGUUUUGUUCGCUGUUCAUCUCGAAACGGCCCAGCAGCAGUACUCGCUGCACCGGUUGUACCACGCCCGCAAGACGACGCUGAACUCGUCCAGCAACAUCAUCAACAACAAUGGCGGCGGCGGCGGCAGCAGCACCAGCGGAAGCAGCAGC
rnacentral:misc_RNA from 1 species